rnacentral:rRNA from 1 species
UGGGGAAUAUUGCACAAUGGGCGCAAGCCUGAUGCAGCAACGCCGCGUGAACGAUGAAGGUCUUCGGAUCGUAAAGUUCUGUUGCAGGGGAAGAUAAUGACGGUAACCGGAGAAGAAGCCCCGGCUAACUUCGUGCCAGCAGCCGCGGUAAUACGAAGGGGGCUAGCGUUGUUCGGAUUUACUGGGCGUAAAGCGCACGUAGGCGGACUAUUAAGUCAGGGGUGAAAUCCCGGGGCUCAACCCCGGAACUGCCUUUGAUACUGGUAGUCUUGAGUUCGAGAGAGGUGAGUGGAAUUCCGAGUGUAGAGGUGAAAUUCGUAGAUAUUCGGAGGAACACCAGUGGCGAAGGCGGCUCACUGGCUCGAUACUGACGCUGAGGUGCGAAAGCGUGGGGAGCAAACAGG